CGGUGGCGAGCUGCCUUCGCCGCCGCUCUUAAUGGAAUUUAAGGGAACAAAGAAUCCGAAUGUGAUAAGACGCUACCAGACGAAGAAAGGUAGGAGGAGGUUCAUGUGGUGGCGAUGGAGGAGGUACCGGAGGAUGGCCGGACGUAGAGGUCGUAUGGCUUCCAGAGUUGGUCGACCGGGCAGGGGUUACCGGCGUCUAGGCGAUCCCAUGGCUUCCCCUUUCCGCUCCAGUGCAUCAGGCUGACUGGGCCGGGGUGGAGCCUCCGGCACUCUCCGGUGAG
rnacentral:lncRNA from 1 species